AACGAACGCUGGCGGCAGGCCUAACACAUGCAAGUCGAACGCUCCGCAAGGAGAGUGGCAGACGGGUGAGUAACACGUGGGAAUCUUCCUAUCGGUACGGAAUAGCUCAGGGAAACUUGAAGUAAUACCGCAUACGCCCUUCGGGGGAAAGAUUUAUCGCCGAUAGAUGAGCCCGCGUCUGAUUAGCUAGUUGGUGGGGUAAUGGCCCACCAAGGCGACGAUCAGUAGCUGGUCUGAGAGGAUGACCAGCCACACUGGGACUGAGACACGGCCCAGACUCCUACGGGAGGCAGCAGUGGGGAAUAUUGGACAAUGGGCGCAAGCCUGAUCCAGCCAUGCCGCGUGAGUGACGAAGGUCUUCGGAUUGUAAAGCUCUUUUGCCAGGGACGAUAAUGACGGUACCUGGAGAAUAAGCCCGGCUAACUUCGUGCCAGCAGCCGCGGUAAUAC
rnacentral:rRNA from 1 species